rnacentral:rRNA from 1 species
GACGAACGCUGGCGGCAUGCCUUACACAUGCAAGUCGAACGGCAGCACGGGUGCUUGCACCUGGUGGCGAGUGGCGAACGGGUGAGUAAUACAUCGGAACGUACCUUAUCGUGGGGGAUAACGCAGCGAAAGUUGCGCUAAUACCGCAUACGCCCUGAGGGGGAAAGCGGGGGACCGUAAGGCCUCGCGCGAUUAGAGCGGCCGAUGUCUGAUUAGCUUGUUGGUGAGGUAAAAGCUCACCAAGGCGAUGAUCAGUAGCUGGUCUGAGAGGACGAUCAGCCACACUGGGACUGAGACACGGCCCAGACUCCUACGGGAGGCAGCAGUGGGGAAUUUUGGACAAUGGGGGCAACCCUGAUCCAGCAAUGCCGCGUGAGUGAAGAAGGCCUUCGGGUUGUAAAGCUCUUUUGUCAGGGAAGAAACAGCAGCUCUAACACAGCCUGCGAAUGACGGUACCUGAAGAAUAAGCACCGGCUAACUACGUGCCAGCCGCCGCCGUAA